UAGUGAUUGCCCAUGUUAACUUGCAGAUUUAUGAACUCACAAUCCAGGCACUAAUGUUUGUAUUCAGCCACACUUCAAGGCUCGAAAUCCUGGAGAGAAGUCAUAACAAAUAAGCAAUUUCAAAUAUAAAAUGAACUCACAGAAAUAUACUCGAAGAGAAAAUUCAUAGCGAAUGUUUAAGUGCGUUUGAGAAUGGGUACCAGUUGACACUAAGUAAAAAUGAUAUUCACAUUCAAAAUAACUAAUUUAAAUAAUCAGCCGCGAUUAUAUUAUUUUCAUACAAUACAUCAAACUGAGAGAGAGUGGACAUAAAUUUUCCACCGAGGUCGAACACACCAAAAAAUUGAUGGAUCCUACAAAAACUGCCAAUGUAACUAUGGCUUAGUUUAAAUACAGCUACCACUGGUAAUCGCAGCAAGUGAAUGCCUACAGGUGAAAAGGAUGUGUUAAUUUUCAAACAGUCAUGAGAUCACUCUAGAUAGCCCCCAUUAGCAAAAUGUUGAUUAGGGCUUGAAGAAACGCUUGAACUGGCAAUGUUGCCAUUUGUAGCACCUUUAAUUUCAAAGGAUCUACAUUUGCUUCACAAAUUUUCUUUACUUUCUCUUGGGCCUAUUUAAUUAAAAGACCAUUAUCAUUAGUUUCCUUCUCACCAAGCUUCCGAACUGGCCAAGAAGUGGCCUAUUCCUAUGUACUAAGCAUUAAAAUUAUUAGACAAACAAAGGCAUAAAAAUAAUUAUCCACUCAAGAACUGAAACCUGGAAAGAAGUCAAGUGAUAUAAAAUUGUAUUUAAGAAAAUCACAAGAUAAGAAUAGCAUCUUACAAAUAUUUGAAAUAAAUACAUCCAAUGAAGUUUUUUCCUGAUUUAGACUUCAAAAAACACAACAGCUUCAUACCAAGCAGAUGUACAACUUACUUGCAUAAGAUAAAUUUGCCUUAUAAAGAGAAACAUAAACCAUAAAGUACAAACAAAAGAUUGGGUUGCUGGACUCAUAGAAUAAAAGAGAACAACAAAGCCAAUGAAUUAGUGCAUAUUAAGAUGUUGGAAGAAAAGAAAAAAGAAAAAUCCAGAGAAGAAAGAUCCUUUGCAUUGAGAAAUUAAGGCAUCAAAUCUCCUGCAUGAUAAGUAAAAAACCCAGAUACUAUGAACGCGAGGCUCGAUGUUCUAUAUUACAGCUGUAACAAUGAAUUUAGAACACUUAAGUUAUACAUCUUUCUCUUUACUUCCAUUAAUAAUGAUUAAAUAAAAAUGAAAUUGGUUGUCUCACCUUUAAAAACUUAAUGGUUUUUUCAUUAGCGAAGAAAGAGUGUACCAUUAAAUACCAAAAAUUAACAUACAACUAAACUUGCUUCCAGGAAAUUGUUCCUUAAAAGAAAAUUUUUAAAAAAAAAUUCGAGGCCUUCAUUAUUAAUCAUUUUUCUACAAAAUUGAAAAAGGAAGAAGAAAUAGAACCAAGAAAACAAACACAAAAUAGACAGCUUCAGCCACCACGAACACAGCUUUGACUUUCUGCCGUCAGUCACACAAUCUCCUCAGAUGUCUAAACCACCAUUUUCAUAAAUCCUACCAAAACCACCGCAAAAAUGUGGCAGCUGCAAUUGGGAGUUGCAUAGAUCCACCGAACCCAAACCCAUAACCAAAGAACUCGAUUUGAACCGGUUGAAGACUCUGUCUAGUCUAAUUCCUAUUACUUUCCAUGAAUUAUUCAUAACUGCAUAUAUGAUGGAAAAAGAUCUAGCAUCCGCCGUCUACUUUAUCGCUGGAUUAGCCAGCAAGUUAGGGCAGAAACAAAGGACAUGACGCAAGAGGAGGGAGAAGUUUCCGGAGAGUCGACUGCUAGGGUUUGUUGGAAUAAAUGUGUAAAAUGAAUAUAAGAACGGAAGAAAUGAACAAUAGUCAAACCAGUGAAUCCGAAAAAAAAAAAAAAAAAAAAAAAAAAAAAGGGCUUGCACUCCUAUAAACAGUGGCAAGAUGAAGUCCCUCUUUUAAUAUAUAGGGAUACGUUUUUCAUUCAAUGGAAAUUUCAUAUUAAAACCUUUGGGUUUGGACUAGAG
rnacentral:lncRNA from 1 species